AGUCUACAUACACAGCUAUAUUUGCUGAUUGGGAGGAUCCUUAAGAUGGUCAUACCAUGGGUCAUUUAGCUUUUUUAUUUAGGAUUUUAGGACCCAUUUAGGUAUACAAAAAUAAAGUAAAAAAAGAUUCACUUGGGUAACUUGUUGCUCUAAAACACAGAUUGAUUUGGUGUUCAGUAAUAAACCAGAGAGAGUGACUAAAUCAUUCAAUAUGGUUACUGGGCUGUCUGAUCAUAAUCUGACACUUAUAGCCAGAAAGCUUUCUAAGAGCAGGUUUAACCUCUCUACUGUUAGAAAGCCGGAUCAACUAAGAAUACCUAAGAGUGAAUUAAACUAUUUUGAAAAUGCAAUUAAUGGAAUUAACUGGAAUGAUCUCUUGUCCUAUACAGACGUGGAAGCUGAUAGUGAGGUUUUUCUAUCCACAAUCCAGGCUACAAUAAAUGGUUUCCUAAAGAAAAUCAAAUCCAAACCUGGCCAAAAGAGCACUCUUCCAUGGCUAAAUGGAGAAAUCUGGAAAUUGAUGAAAGAACGAGAUUAUGCUCUAAAAACAGCCCUAAAAUUAAAAUUAGAGCAUGACAGACGUAGGUUUACCAUGUUGAGAAAUAAGGUGAUGAAAGAAAUCAGACAGGCCAAGGCAAACUUUUUUAUUAACAUAAUUGGUGAGGCAAAGGGAAAUUCUAAAUUGAUCUGGGAGAAUCUAAAAAAGUUAACAGGGAAAGACCAUAAUAACAAUGCAAAAAGACUAGAAAUCAUGGUGAAUAACAAUCUAACACAGGAUGCAGUCGAAAUAGCAAUAGCCUUCAAUUCCUACUUUAUUGACUCUGUCAGGGUACUGACACAGAACCCCUCCACUGGUUUAUUGGGCUCAGUGCUAGUGAAUGACGCUCAACCUGUUUUCAUCAUAAGGGAGGUUUCUGAGUCAAAGGUGAACAAGGUGAUUAGCUCACUAAAGAACUCUAAAUCCAAAGAUGUGUUUGGGCUGGACUCUACCUUUCUUAAAAACUACAAAGAGUCACUCAUUGGCCCCAUUACUAAGGUCACCAACACAUCUAUUGGUCUGGGGGUGUUUCCAAGGGUAUGGAAGUCAGCCAUAAUAACGACCAUCUUUAAAUCGGGCAACCCUGCUGACGUGAGUAACUACAGGCCCAUUAGUAUACUACCUGUAGUGUCGAAGGUUGUUGAAAAGUGUGUAGCAGAACAACUGAUUUCCCACCUCAACAACAGCCCCUUCACAUUACACUCCAUGCAGUUUGGCUUCAGAGCGAAACACUCCACAGAAACGGCCAACUGCUUUCUUCUGGAAAAUGUGAAGUCCAAGAUGGACAAAGGGGGCAUUGUUGGGGCUGUGUUUCUGGACCUAAGGAAGGCUUUUGAUACUGUUAACCAUGAGAUUCUCAUCACAAAAUUGUCCAAGUUCAACUUUUCCCCCGAUGCNNNNNNNNNNNNNNNNNNNNNNNNNNNNNNNNNNNNNNNNNNNNNNNNNNGUUAUUUAAGUGUCAGCCAUUGUUGCCAU
rnacentral:lncRNA from 8 species